rnacentral:rRNA from 1 species
UACAGAGGUCCCGAGCGUUGUUCGGAUUUAUUGGGCGUAAAGGGUGCGUAGGCGGCGCGGUAAGUCGGGUGUGAAAUCUUGGAGCUUAACUCCGAAACUGCAUUCGAUACUGCCGUGCUUGAGGACUGGAGAGGAGACUGGAAUUUACGGUGUAGCGGUGAAAUGCGUAGAUAUCGUAAGGAAGACCAGUGGCGAAGGCGGGUCUCUGGACAGUUCCUGACGCUGAGGCACGAAGGCCAGGGGAGCAAACGGG